rnacentral:rRNA from 1 species
UGGGGAAUCUUGCACAAUGGGGGCAACCCUGAUGCAGCGACGCCGCGUGAGCGAUGAAGGUUUUCGAAUCGUAAAGCUCUGUCCUAUGGGAAGAUAAUGACGGUACCAUAGGAGGAAGCCCCGGCUAACUACGUGCCAGCAGCCGCGGUAAUACGUAGGGGGCGAGCGUUGUCCGGAAUUACUGGGCGUAAAGGGUUCGCAGGCGGCAUGGCAAGUCCGAUGUAAAAGGCGAAGGCUCAACCUUCGUAAGCAUCGGAAACUGUCAAGCUUGAGUGAAGGAGAGGCAAGUGGAAUUCCUAGUGUAGCGGUGGAAUGCGUAGAUAUUAGGAGGAAUACCGGUGGCGAAGGCGACUUGCUGGACUGCAACUGACGCUGAGGAACGAAAGCGUGGGUAGCAAACAGG